UGAGUAACCUGCCCUUCACUCUGGGAUAACUCCGGGAAACCGGGGCUAAUACUGGAUAUGACUCGAACAGGCAUCUGUUUCGGGUGGAAAGAUUUAUUGGUGGAGGAUGGACUCGCGGCCUAUCAGCUUGUUGGUGAGGUAAUGGCUCACCAAGACGACGACGGGUAGCCGGCCUGAGAGGGUGAUCGGCCACACUGGGACUGAGACACGGCCCAGACCUCCGUACGGGGAGCA
rnacentral:rRNA from 1 species